AGUUGUCGCUGUUAAAAUUGUGGUGUCUGAAAAUAAUUGUACACGUUUAGAGCGACAUCAAAUCAACAAAAGGAUUAAUAAAAGUAAAGAAGAAGAAAGGAAAGGGUUAUCAUUAAUCAAUAUCAGAAGCAGUGGCUCAACAUCAAGUAAUAAAUUAAUAAGUAGUUUUCCAAUUGAUCAUGAAACGAUACGGAGUUCAA